AAACUUAUCUGGCAAGGGAGACACCACCAUCGUGAAAGUGGUUUUCCCAGGGUGAGGCUGCCCUUUGCACUCCUGAUGUGCUGACCCCUGCAAUUUCCCCAAGUGUGGGAAACUUUGUGGUAGUGGGGUACUGGCUUCUUUACAGUUCCUAC
rnacentral:snRNA from 1 species